rnacentral:lncRNA from 1 species
UGAAAACGAAAGUAGAUUAUUUAUCGUGGAAUAAUUACAAUUGUUUAACCUUCUACGUGGAAUUUAUAUGGUAAUGGUAUGAACUGAGAUGAUUUAUUCAGUUACCUUCAACUGGUCAGUGGUCAACAAGAGAGUAUUAUGGUGUGUCUUGAAGCAUUGAAUGCCCCAAAACAACCAGUAUGAUAAGAAGGCCAGAGUAUACAGCUUCCCAAAAUGUUGAAAGACUGAUCUGUUUUCUAAGGACUUAUUGAAAUUAGCCAUGGACAAUGAAUUUGGAGGUGCAUGCAGGAGCAUCAGAAAUAACAGACUUUGAAUACAUAUUUACAUAAUAUACAAGUAACAUUUACUGAAAAGUGACUAAUGUUUAUGUUAAUAACGUGCAAUAUCCAUUUUUGUAACAUUUACAUGGGGUAAUAGUUACAGUGUUGAAAGAUACUUCCAGUGUUACAUUUCAAUCUAAGUUACAGUGUGGAUGCUAAUUCUAAAUUCUUGAUAGUCAAGUGUUUUUAAUAACUUAUAUAUACUAAUUAUAUAUCAAACUGUUUAAUUUAUCACAAUCCUACAUCAUUAUUUUACAUAAA